rnacentral:rRNA from 1 species
UCCUACGGGGGGCAGCAGUAAGGAAUAUUGGUCAAUGGGCGAAAGCCUGAACCAGCCAUCCAGCGUGCAGGAAGAAGGCCCUAUGGGUUGUAAACUGCUUUUAUCAGGGAAGAAACCUCUGGAUUCACUCCGGAGCUGACGGUACCUGAAGAAUAAGCACCGGCUAACUCCGUGCCAGCAGCCGCGGUAAUACGGAGGGUGCGAGCGUUAUCCGGAAUUACUGGGUUUAAAGGGUGCGUAGGCGGCUUUGUAAGUCAGGAGUGAAAGGUUGCGGCUCAACCGUAAAAUUGCUUCUGAUACUGCAUAGCUAGAAUUAGGAUGAGGUCAGCGGAAUGUGGCAUGUAGCGGUGAAAUGCAUAGAUAUGCCAUAGAACACCAAUUGCGAAGGCAGCUGGCUAGACCUGGAUUGACGCUGAGGCACGAAAGCGUGGGGAGCGAACAGGAUUAGAUACCCCUGUAGUCAA